rnacentral:rRNA from 1 species
GAUGAACGCUGGCGGCGUGCCUAACACAUGCAAGUCGAGCGCGGUCCCUUUGGUGCUUGCACCAAAGACGACUGAGCGGCGGACGGGUGAGUAACGCGUGAGGAACCUGCCUCAAAGAGGGGGACAACAGUUGGAAACGACUGCUAAUACCGCAUAAGCCCACAGGUCGGCAUCGACCAGAGGGAAAGGAGCAAUCCGCUUUGAGAUGGCCUCGCGUCCGAUUAGCUAGUUGGUGAGGUAACGGCCCACCAAGGCGACGAUCGGUAGCCGGACUGAGAGGUUGAACGGCCACAUUGGGACUGAGACACGGCCCAG